rnacentral:lncRNA from 1 species
GAAGCUUCCCACUCGGAAGAAAAAAAAAAAAAAAAAAAAAAAGGCAGUAAACCGGCAAGUUUGCCCAAAGUGGUGGGAGCUGCUGAAGCCUCUCUCGGUAGCUCUUCCCUGACGCUGCAGCAGUACAGCCGCCUGCGCUACAUACACACAGAAAGAGAGAGGGAGAGAGAGAGCGAAAGAGAGAGCGAGAGUGAGGGAGGGAGGGAGGAGGAGGAGGAGGAGGAAGGAGGUGGAGGAGGAGGACGAGUCAAGCGCUGCACUCCAGAAAGCCCAGCCUUACCCUCUGUCUCUGCUGCUGCUAGUGCUGCAAGUGGGAUAGCUGCUCAUCACAAAACACCAGCAGAGCUGGUGCACACUCGGGGCUCUGCAUUUUGCGGAAUCACGCUGUGUCUUCGCAUGCAAUCUCUCCCUGAAUGUGCAAUGUCUUUCCUGCUCGGGAGUGCUGCGUCCUUCACAGUGGAUUGGUUCCUCUUUCGGAGCAGAGAUCACGGGAAAAGAGAAAAGCAGUCGAAUAUUGUGAUAAUCCUGGGAGCCUGCAGAAGCUGGUUGAUAGAUAUUUCCAAGAAUUCCCCAUGUUCACCAAGGAAUGGUGGGAUCAAUCUCCUUCUCCUGUGGACUUCAGUUCUAUCUUAA